rnacentral:tRNA from 1 species
GGGGCCGUGGUCUAGCGGUUAUGACGCCGCCCUUACACGGCGGAGGUCGCCGGUUCGAAUCCGGCCGGCCCCA